UGUGUUUGCAUAUCUGUCCUGCCUCUCUGCUCCCAGCCGUUAAGAGGCCAGUGUUGAUCAGUGGCUGUCCAGGCCUUUCAGAGCCACUGACACGCCGGCAGCACAAUGAUGAUGUCACUGAUUCUACUGCUGGCCACCCUGGGGCUCCUUGUUCAGGGUUCAUCAGGACAAAUCAUCCUGACUCAGUCUCCUGGAUCUCAGUCUGUUGUUCCAGGACAGGCUGUCUCUCUCAAAUGUAAAACCAGUGCAGGUGUUUAUAGUUAUGGUUCCAGCUGGCUCAGCUGGUACCUUCAGAAACCUGGAGAAGCUCCUAAACUCCUGAUUUAUCUAGCUACAACCCGUCAGUCUGGAGUUCCAGAUCGUUUUAGUGGAAGUGGAUCUGGGACUGACUUCACUCUGACCAUCAGUGGAGUUCAGGCUGAAGAUUCAGGAGUUUACUACUGUCAGCAGGGUCACAGCUUCCCGUUCACACAGUGAUACAACGUCGUACAAAAACCUCCCUCAGCUGGAGAGGAACUGAUCUGACUCAACAGCUGCAC